CUUAAUUAUCAGAAGGAAUAGAAUCAAGAAGCUUGCUAAAUCAUGCUUAUACUGUAUUUAUAGUAGAAUGGAAUGAGAGUUGGAUACGACACCGAAAGGCUUAAAGUAGUGGCUUACUUUAUCAAUUAAACUAAAUCAAGAAAUGUUGUUCAUGCUAAAGCUACCUUUGUAAAACAUGGGUUUUAUCCCAUCUAUUUAAUAAAUAAAAUCCGGUGUUUCUAAA